ensembl:lncRNA
GAUAAGGUUACCUUGAAGCACCCCAGCACUUUUCUCGUCCCACACCCAUGUGAGGCACCAAUAACAUGGGCUAAAUUACCAGCACCUAUUUGCUGCAUCCCCUGCCAGAGCCUGUACUCCCCUGUUUAUGGCCCUGACCUAACAUCCCAUUCUCCCCCAGCCAUGAUCCCAAAUCCGGCACUUUGAAAACCCUCAUCCCGCUUUUCUCACGAGACUGUGGAGCUUCACCCGUGGAUUGGAUGGGGACGACAAAGAGGAACAUCUUUUCCUGAGUGGGAUUUAAGAUCACCUGGGUGAAACCGUCCAAAUAAGAUUACACAAGCAAAAUCAAAGGACAUUCGGCUGAAGUACCACCAUGGCUCAGGCAACUAAAGGUCCCGCAGUGAAGCCCAUCUCUCCCACCUCUGUAGAUGACCCGACUAAGGCAGCACACCCAGACUCACUUACAGCCCGGAGCCAUGGAAUUUUACGAAUCAUGAAUCGCCCGGCACAAUGGGUGGUCAUCAUCACACUUCUGAUCUCUUGGUCAAUAGCAGGUGUUGUCAUGUUUGACUUUGUCAGUGACGAUCAGAUUGCAAGCAUCCAAGAUUUCAGCUCUGAUCCAGUGCUAGCAGUGAACAAAGCCAUUGAAGUCAUUGAAAACAGGAUAAAUCAUAUGAAUGACAUGUUUAAUGAUGCUCAAGAGUACGUCACUGAAAUAAUAUUUAAUCCGGUGGAAGCUAUUAGUUCAACUGCUGACUCAUCUGUGUCUUAUCUGUCAGGAAUAUUUAGUGCCGAUGGAGAUUUAGGAAUCACUGAAACAGUGAAAUAUGGGGGCACUGUAUUGGAUGAGGCUACAGAAUGGAUCAGAUCCCCAGUGAGCUACGUAUUCCACUUAUUUGAAGACAUUUUGGAUAUAGUGGUUGCUCCAGUGGAUAUGGUCAGUGAAGCUCUUGUGCAAAUGUUAAGUGGGAUCAAGACUGUUAUACUUUAUAUUUCCUCCAUGUUUGGGGGCAUUGAAGGGUACACAGGCAUCACUGAAACAGUGAACCUUGGUGGCACUGUACUGGAUGAGGUUACUGACUGGAUUAGAUUCCCAGUGGCCUACUUAUUCCAUUUAUUUGAAGAUAUCCUGGAUGUAGCAAUCAUUUAUCCAGCAGACAUUGCCAGUGAAGCAGCUCUGCAAAUUUUAAGUGGGAUCAAGAACAUUUCUUCAACCAUAUUCGGGAACCUUGAAGCUUGGUUUCCCAAAACGAGCACUGAUCCUGCGGGACUGGCUGAAAUAGUUGUAGAGGAGGCUGCAGAAGUAAAGACCACCGUUUCUAAUUACCUAUCAAGUCUGUUUGCAGCGGAUGAAGGUGGUAUUUCUGACAUUAGCUUUGAUCCCAUGAAAGUUGUCACAGACACUGUUGAGGAGUUUGCUGACAGGAGGGAUAUGUUCUUGGCUUAUCUCUCAAACAUGCUCAUGGAAGACAAAGAUGACACACCGCAAGUGGUAAGACGAAAAGGAGAAUUUCUGCCCCCUAUGGAAAAAGUUCUUGAACAAGUGAAAGAAGCCAAAGAGAAAAAAGCUAGAGAGGAGAUAUACAAAAUCAUUCAAGAUAUGAGGGAGAAGAAGGCUGAUGGUGAAGAGGAAGAGAUAACACUAAAACAAAUAAACAUAACAGUAGAAAAAGUCAAGAAGAGAAAAGAACAUGAGAAAAAGGAGAUAGAAAAUAAUAAAAGAAAAGAAAAAUCCAAAGAGGACAAGACUCAAGAACCAACAAAAAAGGACACCAAGAAAAAACCUGACAAAAAGGUCAAGGUGACUAAAGUGGAUGAGGAACCUCCUCUAAAAAAGAAGAAAUCUGGACCUGAGAAAAAGGUUAAACCAGCAAAGAAAGAUGUUGAGAUGGCCAAAGACAAAGCACUUCCUUUAAAGAAAGAAGCUGAAGUGGCCAAAAAAGAGACCAAACUAGCACCAUCUAAGAAAGAGCCUGACGUUACAAAAGAAAAGGCCAAACCAGCUCUUUCAAAGAAAGAAAAAGCUGAAGUUAUCAAAGAAAAGGCAAAACCAGCUCCAAAAGGAAAAGAUGCUGAGGUUGUCAAGGAAAAAGCUAAACCAGUAAAGAAAGAACCUCAGGUUAUUAAAGAAAAGGUCCAGCCUGCACCUUCAAAGAAAGCUAAAGCUCCCAAGGAAAAAUCUAAACCUGUGAAGAAAGAAGCUGAACUCGCUGUCAAAAAAGCUAAACUUGCUCCUGUAAAGAAGGAGCCUGAGGUUCCCAAAGAGAAGGCCAAACAGGAGCCCUAUAAGAAAGGUAAAAAUAGAAGGCAAAACCAGCUCUUUUAA